rnacentral:rRNA from 1 species
GUCUACGGCCAUACCACCCCUGAAUGUGCCCAGUCUCGUCUGAUAUGGGAAAGCUAAGCAGGGUUGGGCCUAGUUAGUACUAGGAUGGGAGAAAUUAUCAUUUGUUGUGUCU